rnacentral:rRNA from 1 species
AUUGAACGCUGGCGGCAGGCCUAACACAUGCAAGUCGAGCGAGCGGCGGACGGGUGAGUAAUGUAUGGGGACUGCCCGUUAGAGGGGGAUAACUCCUGGAAAAGGUAGCGAAAACCGCAAAUAAUGGGAGAACCAAGAUGGGAUUAGUUAGAAGGUGAGGUAAUGGCCCCCCUAGGAGACGAUCCCUAGCUGGUCUGAGAGGAUGAUCAGCCACACUGGGACUGAGACACGGCCCAGACUCCUACGGAGGCAGCAGUGGGGAAUAUUGCACAGUGGGCGCAAGCCUGAUGCAGCCAUGCCGCGUGUAUGAAGAAGGCCCUAGGGUUGUAAAGUACUUUCAGUCGGGAGGCGUUACCGACAGAAGAAGCACCGGCUAACUCCGUGCCAGCAGCCGCGGUAAUAC